AAAGUAGGAAAAAAUAAGAGACACACGCCCAAAAAUACGCAUAAAAAAGUCCAAAUCGAAAUCGGAAUCGGAGCGUCAGCACAUAAAAUAUCAGCGCAUAAAUAAAAAACUAGAAAAUUGUUGCAGUUGUCUUUUGCCGGCUGCAUUCUUGCCUCCUUGAUCGCUGACUCUGCCGGCGGAUUAUGUAAAGUGGCAAAAGGCAAGCGAGCUCGUUGUCCCAAGGGCCGAUCAGCGCAAAAAAUACGCACGGAAAACUUUUCAAGAAGCAAAUGUAUCCAUUGAAUGUGUGUUGCCAUUUCUCAAUCUCAAUCUCUCUCUCGCUCUCACUCUCUAGUCUGUGCAUCUCUGUCGCCAGUUUUGUCGCCAGUAAAUGCAUCUAAUUUAUUUUGCAUCUAUUGCAAUUGAGGAGGCCACCGUGGCAGCAUCAGCAGCAGCAGCAUCGAGUCGAUGCAUCCGAAAGAUACGCGCGUCGUUUGUCUAAUUGCCAUCAGCAGUUACUUAUUUGUUGUGCCAACUAUCUAAGUGUGUGUGUGUGUGUGAGUGUGUAUUGAAUUACGAGCUAAAAUGCAAAUAUACAAAUUGAUGCCCAUCAAGUGAAAAUGAAAUAAACGGCAAAGCUCUUCAACAAAAUGCAUCUACAGCUCAAAUUGUGCAGUGCGAAUUUCAUGAAUAAUUAACGAGCAUGAAUAAAAUCAAAUGAAAUAAAAUACAAAUAAAAAUACAAAAAAAUAAAAACAAAACGAAAAUAAUUCAAAGCAAAGGAAAAGAAAAUAAAACGCAAUUGGCUAUUGUGAGGCGAGUUGCCAAAAUAACGUAAUCAGCAUGUCGUCCUAUCGAAGUUAUACUCCCUGGAAGUCUAAUCUGAGUUCCUAUAAGCCGAGUAGCUCAACGUACACAUUGGGCAGCGAUCUUGGCAGUGGCGCCACCUCGCGCUACACUUCGCUGGCCACGCCCAGCGCCUACAGACCAUCCUUCUCUGGUGGCACAUAUCGCAUCAAACGUGAUCCGCCAGCUGCCACUCCAGCUGUGACAAGCUACGUGAGUCGCUAUGGCAGCGCAGCGAAAACCGAAGCCAAGGACACGACGAGCUCCAGUGAUCGAAGCAGUCCCAUCAAACGCUACACUGGCACAACAAGUAAACUGGGCAAAUACGGUCGAUCCAGGGAUCCCAGUCCAGUGGCGCUGGAGCACACCAAUCACAACAGCAAGUCGAAGUCAAGGGAUCCCAGUCCGGUGAUGGACAGCGCACGGAGUAAACUGGGAGCUAGUAACUAUCGCAGCGGCAACAGCAGUAGUAGCAGCUCUAGGAACACCUAUGGCAAUCGCUAUGGCAGCACAGGAACCCGACUCAAUAGUAAUACGCUGGACAAAUCCAUCUCUUACUUGACCACAAGUGAUUUCCAUGCGAGAACCGCAAGUCGCGCCAAGGCAAGCAGGGAAAAAGAGCUUGAGGAGCAGCAGACACCAGAACAGCCAGCUGAAACAGUUAAGGAGGUAGCCAAAACGGAGGAAAAAUCCCCGGAGCAACAGUCUGAGACUGCACCUGAGGAAACCUUCAUCUCCGUGUCUGUGGUGACCAGAGCCACCUCACCAACUCCACCAGGCAGCACCACAGUGCAACGCACGCGUCGCAUAGACAUCGCCAAGACCAUCGAGAAGACCAUACAACGCUCCACAAAACCCCGCCAGAUGGUGGAGAAGGAGAUACAAUCGGAUCGCAUGGAUGAUUCCACGAGGUAUUUAAGGUACAGCGCAGCCAGUAGCAGCAUCAGCUCCAACUACAGUUCGCAUCGGGAUCGCAUUAGCAGUCUGCGCUACAACGCAAGUCCUCAGUCCAGCGUUUCACCCAAGUCCAGCACACCGAGCGCCGAGUCCAAGGAACCUUCGGUGAGUCCAGCAAAGAGCAGCGUUAACUUAAGUGUGGCCAGUGUCAAGAGCAGCAGCACAAGCAACGGCAAAUCAAAGUUAUCACCACCAAAGGCGGUGCGACUCAACUCCCGACAAUCCUCCGUUGAGAAUCUGGCCAAUAAACCUCCAGCUGCACCCAGCAAAGCAGAAUCACCCACUAAGAUUAGCAACAGCAGCAACUCGAGCAACUCCUCGGCAAAGUGGCCUUGGCCCAACAAGGACUUUCGCAAGAGCUCGCUGAACGUGGGACCUACGGACAGACCGCGUAAAAGUCGCACGCCCAGCAGCGGCGAGAACGAGGAGGCAACGGGAACAGGUGCGGCAGCAGAGGCAACCUCGGGUUCGGGACUGGAAAGAUCACCUAGUGGCGGCAGCGAAGCUAGCGUCACCUCAGCCAGCUCCGCGCGCAAAGUGAAGCUAAGCAAUGGCAAAGCAAGUACCGUGAAAUUAAAAACGCAUAAAUCCUGUACGCCCAGCACAGGAAGCAGUAGCAAUAGCUCCACAGCGACCUCUGCCUGUUCCUCAUCGGACAGCGAGCAACGCGUCAAGAUCACCAAAAAGACGGGCAAGAAGAAGGCAGCGGCAACAAACGGCGUGCAACCGAAAGAGAAAACAACGAGCAAGAAGGUCGCUGCUAAGCAGGCAACUGACAGCAGCGGUGACAAUGGCGACGAUGGCGAAAAUAGCCACAACAAGUUCGUCACUGACUCACCUAGUGACGCCGCAGUGAGACAGUCACCUGCGACGGCGACAUCGCCACAGACAGAGCAGUCAGCAAAGCAGUUGGCAGCGCAGUCUACAACUCAGUUGGCAGAGCAGUCCUCGGCGCAAUUGGCAGCCCAGUUAUCCCCCAAAUCGCCUUCCCCGCUGCAGUCUUCACCGCAGUCGCCAGCAUCGCAGUUAGCAUCGCCGUCGCCUUCACCGUCACAAUCUCAGUGGACAGCGCAGUCGACGUCGCGUUUGCAGCGCUUGUCGGGGGUGUCGAAUUUUUUCGCCACUCGUCAGCACGACGCAAAUAGUGAACCGAUCUUCAUCGAAAGCUCCGAGAGCGCGGGCGAGGCAGACACGCCGCCAUGUGACUCGAUGGUCACGCUCAGUCUAACGUUAGACACACGAACGAACGAACCAACGACGACGACGAAGACCACAGCAAGUGGCCAGGUGACAACCACAACGAUAACGACAACGACAAACACAACGAGCAGUCCCAACUCCUACAGUUCCAGCACACAUAAUCCUCGCGAAACGAGCACAGCUCAACAGCAACAAAAACACUACGACAAAGAGUCGAGUUUGACCACAAGCGAGGCAAAUCCCUCGGAUCUGGACGAACCCAGCUGGUGGCAGGACACGAGUCUGCAGAUCAACACGGCUUCCGCUUUGGAUUACAAUAAUCGCGGUGAGAUGCCUUACAGGUUGCGCCACAUUGAUUCAGGGGAGGAGCAAGCCUGGUGGCUGCGUCAGGAUGAGGGCGAUGACGAUGAUACGCUAGCGGAAGAAACCUUAAAUCCGCUGGAUGAUGAGCAGUCUAGGGAUGCAAGUGUGGAGAUCACCGAGGGUGGCAAGGCAGCUUGUGGUGCUUGGUGGAGCAGCAGCAACGACAACGAAAGGGAGCAGGAACAAGAGUCAGAAGUGCAGGGCAAGCUGAUGCCCAGAAGUCGCAUCUCCCCCGAGCAAGAUGCCUGGUGGCUGGACGAGGAACAGACGCAACAACAAACUCCAAUCAAAUCCCUGACGCCAGAGUGCAAGACCAACGGAUAUCACGAUGAGCCUCAUGUGGAGGUGACCCUCAAGCUGCCCAGCAACAGCUCCAAGGCGAGCAACGGCAGUGGAAGCAGCGCACCCACGGAUGCUGCUGCACAACACUGGUGGAUGUCGGGUCCGGCUAAGAAGCUGUUCAACGUACAGCGCGUGGAGUCCGGUGAGCGUGCCUGGUGGCAGGAGAAGGAACAGGAGGCACCACCUCCGCCUCCACCAGUGAAGCAAGCAACGCCUCCAACGCCGCCGCCACGCAUAAUCAAGCACUGGGAGUCAGGAGAGCGCGCCUGGUGGUUGCAGGAUGACGAGCAACAGCCUGGCAACGCUGGUGAACAGUUGUUGCCCUCAAAUGGCAACGACGUCGUGGACUUUAAGCAAACGAAUGGGCAGAUACCACGCCCACUGGCACAGGAUGCGCCCUCGGAGCUGAGCAGCUCCUUCAAUUUUGCGUACUCAGUGCGACCGCCGCCCUUGGGACAAUGCUCGAGUCCCGUGCCGCCCGAGCUGGCCAACGAGCUGGCGGAGCAGCGAAAGCUUUGUGCAUCGCCCUACGAUAACAUUCCAAUGUCAAAAGUUCAAAUGGCAGCAGCGCCGUCGACGCCACAGUUGCAGCCAGCCACAGCGCCUCGCUAUGCUUAUGCUCCGCAGCCGGGCCGCGUGGGCGACAAGCUUUUUAUAUCGCGACAUCAAAACAUCGAUGAGCUUUUGGGCGGCGCAUGCCGUCCCCUCAGUCCACUUUUCUAUAACGGCGGCGGCAUCGGCAUCUUAGAGAGUGGCGAGGCAUCACUGCCGACGUCGGCGUCGCUGCCGCCGGCGAACAAGAAUAUGUUUCUGCUCGAGGAGAUUACGCCGGAUCAGGUGCGAAUACACGACAGCACCGCUCAGCUGCCGGUCAUACAGCGUAUGCAACGCGAUGUCGAGUGGCUAGAGAAUGGCAGCAGCAGCAACUUUUAUGAGCAGCAACAGCAGCAGCCGCAACAACGCAGGAUCGACGAUGCUGCUAUUCAGGUGUUUAAGGAUGGCGAAUAUGGCGCCUACUUGGAUCUGGAGUCAUCUCUCGCCGAGCAGACUGAAGAGAUUGAGGGACUGCAAGCGAGUCGCAAAAACUCGCUGGUGGUGCGCACACAGCUGAGCGUACGCGUUCAGGCCAUUAUUGAGAAACUACUCUCAUCAGAGGGCAGCGAUUUGCGUCGUGCACUAUUCUCUCUCAAACAGGUGUUCCAAGAGGAUAAGGAUCUCGUGCAUGCCUUUGUCGCACUGGGCGGUCUCAAUUGUCUGGUGCGCGUUGGCAAUUGUGCCGAUCAGAACUAUCAAAACUAUAUACUGCGUGCCCUGGGACAGGUCAUGCUCUAUGUGGACGGCAUGAAUGGCGUUAUGAAGCAUCAGCCCACCAUGGAGUGGCUCUAUUCAUUGAUCGCAUCCAAUUACCGUUCGGUUGUGAAGACGGCGCUCAAGCUCUUGCUCGUGUUCGUCGAGUAUGCCGAGUCCAAUUGCUAUGUGCUUGUGAGCGCCAUUCAUGCAGUGGACGCUGCCCAAGGCACAGCGCCAUGGACAAAUAUAAUGAGACUGUUGAAGGACUAUGAUAACGCAGAUGCAGAGCUGGUGAUUUAUGCUACUUCUCUCAUAAAUAAAACGCUUGCUGGACUGACGGAUCAGGAUAGUUUCUAUGAUGAAAGUGAUCUUCUGGAACAACAGGGCAUGGAGGCAGUGAUACUACGCUACAUGUCCAAGCCAGGCACAGAUAUGGAUCUGUUAGAUCAGCUGCAGCUGUACGAGGCCGUGUUAAAAUUCGAGGAUGGCGAGUCGGAUGGCCAGCGCUUGCCACAGAAUUCUAUGCGCAAGACGCAACGCAAUCGUCCUGGCACUGGAACCGCAGAACGUCGCAAGUCGCGUCGCCACAGCACCGACAAUAGCCCGGCGCCAUUGACCAAAGUGCUGCCGACCACAGUGCUGAGAAUGACGCCAACGCAGGCCACGCUCGAUGAGGACGACAGCUCGGGCUCGACCAACUCCACAGAGUUCAGUGGCGGACUGUUUCAGGAGAAGAAACCUCGCGAUGGCGCUGGGGUCACUCCGGGUCUAAGACGACGUCGUGAACGCGCCGAGCGCCACAAAAGCUUCCUCAAGGAGCAAGAGGAAGCGGCAGCCAAUGGAAUCCUUGCAGCCCGCGAGCUGCGUGAAAACUAUGGCCAAAUUGUAACUGCCAUACCUGCAACCAUCCAAAGCGGCGACAGUCCGCCGCAAUCAUUGCAAACUGAGCUGCUGCCGCCAACUUCGUCGCCUCCAAACGCAAGCAUACUAGAGUCCAACACACCCAUUAGCAAUAAUAAUUCGAGCCACAACAACAACAGCAUACAACAGUCCCACAACAACAAUAGCAACAAUAACAAUCACAUUGAGACGCCCAACAACAGUCUGUUGCUGAGUCCCACAAAGCAACUGUUGAGUGGCAGCCAAAGCAUUUCCAUCAUCAACAACAGCUUUGACAAGGCCAACAAUAAUACGAACAAUCAGAACGAGUUCCUUACCAAAAAGAACCUCUUUCGGGAGCGCAACGCAACUGUGAUCAACGGCAUCAUGAAGAACAUUCAGCAAACGGAGUGCAGUGCCUACAAAAAGUAUGAGAACGAUGCCAAUCGACUGAACAACUAUUACACGCAACUCAAUCAAUCGCCCAAGCAUCUGGCGGCCACCGCACAGGAAGUGCUUAGCCCCAAAAAGACGUUGAAUGGCUUUGAGUUUGCUGCCAGCGACAGUUCGACACCAUUAAAAUUGGAGCCGUUGCCAGCACCCGAGCCAUUGAGUCCCAUACACAAGCCAAUUGCAGUUGGUGCGCCACCGCCACCGCCUCCACCACCGCCGCCGCCACCGCCUGGCUGGUGGCAUUUUCCCCAAUUGAAUACACAGCCUCGGGCACAGCCGAUGGCAGCUAGAACCACCCUAACAACCAGUACUAACCCAGAGCAACCACAACAAGACAUGGAUACAACAGAUCUGGAGGAUAAGGAUAUGCUGCUGCAGCUGAAACGAGAUCACACGGUCAAGGAUCUCACACGAAAGCUGAGCAAUCUCCCCACGAGUCCCACACAGGAGCCAGGCAAUCGGGGCGCUAUUUGCGGUGACAUGUCGGGCCUCAUAUCAAAAGCCAAAGAAGGUCUUGCCAAGAGCAAGAGCAAAAGUGAAAUAUCGCGCUCAUCGAGCGUCGAUCAGGAACUGAAAAAGCCCGAGCCGAAGAAAUCGGAGAAUGAACUGCACUGGGAAGAGCUUGUACGCAACAUGACACGUCCGCUGAAUCUAUGUGAUCUGGACUUUACCGAUCUGCACUCGGAUGACGAUAAGGAUGUGCUGGCACCGCGUGGUCUGGGCGCCGGUAUUCCGCCUCCACCGCCGCCACUUGGUGGUGGCAUGGUAAUGCCGCCCCCCAUGAUGCCGCCCAGCCUGGCCCCGCCACCCAUGUUCAAUUAUGGUGGCUAUGGCGCUGGCAGCCUGACCAACAGCGUCAACAGUUCACUGAAUGGUUCGGUGAACGGAGAGCUGGCAAAUGGCAACAACACCAUCAAGAAGAACAAGAAGACGGUCAAGCUCUUCUGGAAGGAAGUGCGCGAGGACAUGAUUCCCCAGGUGGUGGGUAAGACCAUUUGGGACGAGCUGCCCAAUGCCAAUGUGGACACCCAAAAGCUAGAGCAUCUCUUUGAGUCGCGGGCCAAAGACUUGAUGACCAAGAAACAACAAGAGCUGAACAAGAGCAAAGAGAUCAUCGUGCUGGAUCACAAACGCUCCAAUGCCAUCAACAUUGCAAUGACCAAGUUGCCACUGCCGUGUGCCAUCAAAACUGCGAUUCUCAAGAUGGACGCCACCGUGGUCACCCGUGAGGGCAUCGACAAGCUGUUGAACAUGUUGCCCUCGGAUGAGGAACGAGACAAGAUUCAGGAGGCACAGAUGUCCAAUCCAGAGCUGCAGCUGGGUAAAGCUGAACAAUUUCUGCUGACACUCGCUUCCAUUUCAGAGCUGGGCGCACGUCUGAAGCUCUGGGCCUUCCGCUUGGACUUUGACAAUUGCGAGAAAGAGAUCGCUGAACCUCUAAUGGAUCUCAAGCACGGCAUUGAGAUAUUGCGUCAGAAUCGCACUUUCCACUGCAUUCUCUCCACACUGCUUUCGGUGGGCAUCUUCUUGAAUGGCGCCCCUGUGAAGGGCUUUCAAAUCGAGUAUCUGGCCAAGGUGCCCGAGGUCAAGGACACCGUGCACAAGCAUUCGCUGUUGCAUCAUCUCUGCCACAUGGUCAUGGAAUCGAGCAGCGAUACCAGUGAUUUGUACUCUGAAAUCGGACCCAUUACACGUGCCUCCAAAGCCGAUUACGCCGACUUGGCUCACAAUCUGACGCAGCUGGAGGCGGAGUGCAAAACUUCGUGGGAUCGACUGAAACUUAUUGCCAAGCACGAUUGUGCGCCGCCUUUAAAGCAGAAACUUGUGGACUUUUUGGCCGAUUGUGCCGAGCGUAUUAUUAUACUGCAGAUUGUGCAUCGUCGUGUAAUGAAUCGCUAUCGCAAGUUCCUUUUGUGGCUGGGGACGCCGCAGAUCAGUGUUGCAGACUCGCGACCGAAUGAAUUCUGUCGCCUGUUGUCGGAGUUUGCCCUAGAGUAUCGCACAACGCGGGAACGUGUGCAGCAGCAGUUGGAGAAGAAGGCCAAUCAUCGGGAGCGCAACAAGACGCGCGGCAAGCUCAUCAUUGACAUGGCCAAGUUCAAGACCAAAGAGGAUGUGGCAGAUGCCGAGCUCAAACAACUUUUGGGCACGCCCAACGCUGAUCAGCCGGACGGCACGCUGACCUGGCGUAGAAGACGCGCCGAGCAGUUGCGCUCGCCUAUCGCACGCCAGAGCGAGGAACAGUUCACCGAUGGCGAUGAUGAAAUACUCGAAUCUCUCGUCAAGACCGCCACAAAGACGUCCGGCAAUCGGACGACGCCACGUGAGCGCAAACGCACGCGUCAUGCGGAUCGCAAGUCCUUGAAACGCAGCCGCACGCGCGAAGGAUUCACAAUUGAAAGAGCACCAUCGCCAUAGCAGGCGUAACCGUUACCGUAACCGUUAGCAUAACCGUUAACCGUUACCGAAAAGAACAGCCAACUGUUUUUUAGGUCUUUAACUUUUUGUGCGUCGCACGCUGAAAAACGGUCUCACCGACGAGGAGAAACAGCAUGUGGCGGCCCUAAUACAAACCUAUUAGAGCUAAGGAAGCUUCCUCUAUAUUUUCCUCAUCUCCCCUUAAACAAUUCCCAUGAUCCUCAAUCAACGCCCAGUGACGUCACAAGUCGGGACUUUGCGUGCGCACAGACUGAAAAUUGGCGAUCUCACAACACUGAAGCAGUCGGAACUGGAACCAGUAUCGAACCGGAACUGAAACUGUUAAUUUGGAACUGCAAUACUCCCCAAAUCUGAAACGAGCAAAACGUGCGCUAAACUACAACAAAAAAGUCCUUACAAAACUCCGCAAAAAAAAAGUUCUCUUAGUUUUCAUUUUGCACUGUUAUUCGAUAUUUUGUUUUUACUUUUAGCUAAGUAUUAAAAUUAAUCAUAUAUUAUAUGCAUAACAAUCACAACAAAAAAAACAAAAACCUACAAAAAUCAACUGUAUUAAUAGCCAAAACAAAUUGAGCUUUAGAAUCGGACAAGAGAAUUCUAAAUGUGUGUGGGGAACAUUUUUAAUUUGUGCUUUCUAAAUUAACUUAAAUUAAUUAUAAACUUAGCCUUAAAUUAACUACGAAAAUAAAUAAAAUACAUAUUUAUUAAAUGAAA